UAGAAAAAGAUAUUAUUCAUUCAAGAUUCAUUCAACGAUGUUUACUGAAUUCAUUCUAUGUGCCAGGCACUAUAGAAGAAAGGUUGAUAAAAGAAGAAUCCUGUCUUCUAGACCUGAGAUCUAUGAAUUUGUGUAAAACUUGCAUGUUAAAGGGUGAGAGAGAGAACAAACUGUCAUUUGAAAAUUUCUCCUGCAUGUGAAUAAACAUUGUUUAUGAAUGUCCACAA